ACAGACUACACGAACAUUAGUCAAUUAGGGCGCGAAAUGCAUAGCUACAUCUAUUUGGAUUCUCAUUCUCAGAAUAUUGCAGCUAGCUCACUGUUAAACCCUCACACCUGAUCCCUGGGUAAAAGAACAGCAAAUUCCCAGAUUCCCACUUCUAGAUCUGAUCCCUCAAAUGCCCCAUCAGACAUCAGCAGUUUCCAAAUUUCCCUAGAAACUUAAGAGGCAGAUGAAGUAAGAAAACGGGCGUACAUCUGAUCGAGCUGCUUGUUGACCUCCUCGACCUCUUCGAGAUCCGUGAGCAGCUGCCGCACGAUGGUGCCAUACGUGAGCGUGAAGAGCUCCGCAUUAUGCAGAACAACACAACCAGAUCAGCGCGGGGCGCAGAUGUACGGGAGGCCAGGGGGAGGGGGCGGGGGGUGGGCUGUGGUUUGGAAGCUUACUAUGCGCUCGACGCUGGCGAAGAGGGCAUCACCGGACUUGGGGGUCGUGAGAGGCGGCAUCGCCGAGAUCGGGGCCGGUGGCGAGAGAGAACAGAGAGAACCACUUGCAGAGUCGCCGGUCUCUAGUACUUUGGUUAUAGGCCAGUUUGGG
rnacentral:lncRNA from 1 species